rnacentral:rRNA from 1 species
GACGGAGGAUGCAAGUGUUAUCCGGAAUCACUGGGCGUAAAGCGUCUGUAGGUGGUCAAAUAAGUCAACUGUUAAAUCUUGAGGCUCAACCUCAAAAUCGCAGUCGAAACUAUUCGACUAGAGUAUAGUAGGGGUAAAGGGAAUUUCCAGUGGAGCGGUGAAAUGCGUAGAGAUUGGAAAGAACACCGAUGGCGAAGGCACUUUACUGGGCUAUUACUAACACUCAGAGACGAAAAGCUAGGGUAGCAAAUGGG